rnacentral:RNase_P_RNA from 1 species
GUGGAUGGCUGGACGAUCGCAUGUCUUCGGGCGUGAGGAAAGUCCGGACUCUAAAGGACAACAGCGGCGGGUAACGCCCGCCCGGGGCAACCCGAGGGAAAGCGCCACAGAGAACAGACUGCCCGCGUUCGUGUGGGUAACGGUGAAACGGUGGAGUAAGAGCCCACCGCAGUGGUGGUAACAUCACUGGCAUGGCAAGCCCCGCUGGGAGCAAGACCAAAUAGGGAUCGCGCGGACGUAAGUCCAAGGGUGUUCUUACCUUAGCAGAUUCGGGUUGGUUGCAAGAGCCUGUUGGCAACAGCAGGUCCAGAUGAAUGGUCGUCAAUAGGGGUUAAUCCCUUGAACAAAAUCCGGCUUACAGGUCAUCCACGCAU